CAGUUUCAGGAAAAGCCGCUGAUUUAAAGGUUUUCUCUCGUCAGGCACAAACUCUGAGGCGUCGAACGCGUCGGAGACCGAGUCCGACCACAGAGACGAGCUCAGCGAUUGGUCGCUGGCUCCGGCCGAAGAGCUGAUAACGGGAGGCGGGACUCUGCCCCGGCGCGGCGACGGCAGGAGGCGGGGCCCAGGACCGGGUCCACGCGGCCGAGGGGGGCGGGGCCGCGGCGGCUACAAAGGAGACGAGCUGCCGUGGGGAGAGCCCAGACCUCGUCACAUCAGAGACACAAAGUCCAGAGAAGACUCUCUACAGAUCCGAGUGGACGGGAACGAGCGCAGCGUGCAGCACCGAGGGGGUGGAGCUCCGUCUCACCACCGUCCAAUCAGAGAGCGAGUGCUAAAGAAGGACAAGCCGGACGCCCCGCCCCUGGUCAACGGGGUCUCGUAGGCGCCGCCCUUCAGGACACUUCUGUCUCCGCGCGGCCCUGGUUUGACACGGAUUUGGUUUAACGGUUAAAAACUGCUUCAUUUUUCCUCUUUCUUUGGGGCCAGAAGACUCUCGCUCGCCCGGCACUUCCACAUCAAACGCUUCUCAGUAAUGAAUUUGGAUUUUCUGAUUUCUCGCACUUGUUUCCACGGCUCCGAAACGAACUCUUGAGGCCGGAACAGGUCUCGGAAAGUGUUGAAAAAAAGAGUUUUGUUGUAUAAUCUGUUGUACAUGAACUGGGGGUCGGUGGAGCCGCCGUUUUAAACGAGGGUGAAAAAGCAGUUUCUCGGACCGUGACGGGCUGCGAUCAUAGGAACAGUCCGGGUUCAGACGUAGACCAGGAUUAGUCCGGGUUUAGACCAGAAAUAGACUUAGACCAGACUCGGACCUGAGGCUUUACUACGAAGCUGGAGGAACUGAUCCUGGAUCAGAGUCUCCGGGACAGGAGUGUUGAAGCUCGAGGCGGAGCUUUGGUUUCUCUGAGGAACCGUAUGUGAUACGGCCGUGCGUUAAUGGGACAUUUUACUAAACCCUUUCCAUUCGAUUAUGCAACAGUUAAGGCCUUAAAAGUCAUUAAAUCAAACUUAAAUUAAAACAUAUUUAUUCCUUUGAGACAGAACCCACUCCAUGACUUUUCUCAUUCAUUAGACUCACUUUGGUCUAAAACUGAUUCAGCUGCAGUUCUGCACAGUCUUUAACUCAAACGUUUCCGUUGUGUCUAAUUCGGACACAAACAGCCUUUCCCCCACGUUUGAUUAAAUAUUUACAAAUCGUACAACAUGAUUUCAUUAAAAUGAGCUUUACAUUUGUUUUGCUGCAGAAACCCUGAAAUAACAAGACUCAAAAAUCAUGACUCAAACGGAACUAUUACACAUUUAUAUAUAAAUGAUGUAAUCUCAGCCAGAGGAAAACUUCAGUGGUGAUUUUGUGAUACGUUGUGUUCGAGCUGGACGACUUUGGGAAAAAAUAAUCAUGAUCUUUUUCCCCUUAUUGAUCGAUCUCAAUAUUCGAUCAGAUUUUUUUAUUAUGUUCUUUGACGAUACCUGGGUUUCGAUACCGAUACCUGAACGAUAUUUUAGUAUCGUUCAGGUAUCGGUCGCCUAGAACCAGGAAACAGAACAAUAAUGUGUGAAGACCUGCACAUUUACAAGAUCAGGUUCAGCUCCAAUGAGAAAUAAUUAAAUUGGGGGAAAGGGGGCGGGUCUUAAAGACAAUGUUCUCAUUUGAGUCUGGGUUCCUGUUGGGCUUUUUGUUAAAAAGCUUUAAAACGGACUCAAGGCUGUGCUAAAAGGAAACUUCUUGUAAAAUAAUGACUUGCUCGACUAGUUUGUAGAAAAUACAAAAUUCAGCUGCAGUUUUGACUGAAAGCGUUUCACGUUGGGUCUGAUUUCAUCUAAAUAUCCACAUUUCCCCUCGUUCCUCUUCGUGAUGGACUCUUAAGGAACCAGCUGUGCACAGAUGUGUUGUAUUUCAAUGGCAUUAAAGGCUUUACAUUUGGCUGCUGCCUGUGUAAACCUUUCCUCUCGAACCUUCUGAUCCGGCUUCGUAGUUUCCCCUCGGGCUCAGACCUGGUCCACGGUUUAGUCCAGACUUCUAGGCCAGUCUCGGUGCAGGUUUAGUCCAGACAUUAGUCCGUUUCUAGACCAGGGUUUUUUAAUCUCCUGAAGAUGCUCUGUGUGGUUUGUUGCUGUGGAAACUAACGGAGCAGCGACGCAAACCUGUGGGAGAAACCUGUGGGAGAAACCUGUGGGAGACCCCGGAAGCAAAAAGCCUUAAAUUUAACAGAGAUGGACCACCAGCCAAAUGUACAGAAACUAACCCUGAGUCAGUACUUUGAUACGGAGUCAGUGGCGGCUGCGCUCACACCGGGACCUAAAGCAGAAAACCUCCACUUCACUUCUGUGGGAGUUUGUAUAAAUGACCUGUAUUCCAAAAGAAUUAAAAACAUGCAUCAAUCUGUUUAGGAAGAUGCGUUUGUAGCUUCAGUUAUUGCCAUGUUUCACCUUAUUCAGAGGAAGUGACGCAAAUAAAGUGAAAAAGCUCAAAGGAGUAAAGUUUGGCUGAUCAGAGGCUGUGGUGCUUUAAAGGACCUGUACCUGAUUUAAUCUUGAUGUUAGAGGAAACACCAAAUGUCAUUCCUAACCUGUGGAAUAUCCCGAUCCUUCACAGGGAUGAGUUUAUCGUCACUAGAAAACUCUCACGUUCAUAAAAGUGAUACAGAUGUUUUAUAAGUGUUUGAGUUUAUGAUAUACUAAAGGACUAAACUCAUUCACUCCAUUAGUAGGAAAUCCGGUUUAGUGCCUUUAAUGUCUCUGAUCUGUAAAGGAACUGAAGCCGAACAUUAUAUUUACUCGUGAUUAUCGUAUCGUUGCAGAGUACGUGAUUAUCGUAUUGUAGAGCUGGGAACCGUUACAUUUGAACUUUAAUGAUACUUGGUUUUUGAUACUGACGUCUGAACGGUA
rnacentral:lncRNA from 1 species